CUUUAGGACGCGUUUGGUUCGCACUAUGAAAGAUUAUUUUGAGUAAAAUGAUAUCCGAGAAUCUUAUUCCUAUUCAUCCUAUUACUGGGAAUAUAGUAUUUCGGUGUUUGGUUCGUAUGAUCAUAUUAUUUAGUCAAUAUUAUUUAACAUUACGAAAAAUAUAUAAUUAAUUAAUUAAUUUUUUAAAAUUAAUUUUAAAUAAUACUAUAAAAAAAUUUCAACAUCUUUUUAGAAAAGACAGAGAGAAUAUAGAUUAGAAAGAGAAAGCAUAAUUAAAGAAAUAGGAAGAGAAAUAGAGUCGAGAUUAGAGAGAAUGAGAGGGUUAAGAUUUUAGAAAAAGAGGGAGAGAAAUAGCUUAGUUUAGAGAGAGAAAAAGAGUUGAAGUUUAGAGAGAAAAAGAUAAGUUUAGAGAAAGAUACGAGAUUAGAGUGUAAAGAAAAAUAAUACCAACUAGCCGACGGAUAAGAGAUUAAGCAUAUUCUAAUUACCCCAAUCCAUUAAUAUAAGAAUACCCACUCUCGGUCAAAAGAAUGAGAUUAGUACUUUGGGAUAUAUCUCAUAUUCCAAAUAAAUUCAAUAUUACCAACUAGAUUACUUAGUGCGUUUAGCCAAAUACUGUCAUAUUUUUUUUAUUUCUGUUGGAUUACUAGGAAUUUUAUAAAGAUAGCGCGAACCAAACGCACCCUUAUGAACACAUUUUAA
rnacentral:lncRNA from 1 species